GAGUUGUGACUAAUUUCUUGCUUCACAAGCUGGUUUUGGAGAAGAGUUGGCUUAGCUUGUGCCGUGGAACAGUGCUAGCAAUCCAAGAAGGACAUUUUGAAGUGGGAAAGGAAGACUUUACUAUGGAUUGCUUCACAAUGAACAGCAACCAGAAUGCACAGGAAUGAGGAGAGAGGAUGAAAGGGAUCGUCACAGGGUUAAGUGACAGAGCUGCUAGCAAAUCUGUCUGGAGACCAUAGGAGCUAACAAAGUCCAGGGUUGAAGUUAUUACAGGAUAUAAAUAGAAUUCAUACAUAGACUCUGUCAUUGGGAUGAAGACUUGCCCUCAGGUGCACUGGAAAUCAUUCUCUUCAACAGCCACUACAGAUAAGGCUCACAAGGGCAAAGGUGAUAACUGCUGCUGUUUGCAAAGCACCCUGCAUCAUCCCAGCUGAACUCUCCAAGACAGGUUGAAAGGAGUCCUUGCAUGGAGGCUAGUGAAAUGCAUCUGUCAGCAAUUUGUAAGGAUGUUACUUAAUUUAGGGUAUAUUUAUUUAUUUAGAUAGAUAAAAAUGUGUUACAUGUUAAAAUAUAUAUUACACAUCUAAAUAC